rnacentral:rRNA from 1 species
UACCAGCACCCCGAGUGGUCGGGACGUUUAUUGGGCCUAAAGCAUCCGUAGCCGGUUCUACAGGUCUUCCGUUAAAUCCAGCUGCUUAACAGAUGGGCUGCGGAAGAUACUAUGGAGCUAGGAGGCGGGAGAGGCAAGCGGUACUCGAUGGGUAGGGGUAAAAUCCGUUGAUCCAUUGAAGACCACCAGUGGCGAAGGCGGCUUGCCAGAACGCGCUCGACGGUGAGGGAUGAAAGCUGGGGGAGCAAACCGG